rnacentral:rRNA from 1 species
ACGGCUCAGUAACACGUGGACAACCUGCCCUUAGGUUGGGUAUAAACCCGGGAAACUGGGUAUAAUACCCGAUAGGUCUCGAUUGCUGGAAUGCAUCGAGACUUAAAGCUCCGGCGCCUAAGGAUGGGUCUGCGGCCUAUCAGGUAGUAGUGGGUGUAGCGUACCUACUAGCCUACGACGGGUACGGGUUGUGAGAGCAAGAGCCCGGAGAUGGAUUCUGAGACACGAAUCCAGGCCCUACGGGGUGCAGCAGGCGCGAAAACUUUACAAUGCUGGCAACAGCGAUAAGGGAACCUCGAGUGCCAGGUUACAAAUCUGGCUGUCGAGAUGCCUAAAAAGCAUUUCAUAGCAAGGGCCGGGCAAGACCGGUGCCAGCCGCCGCGGUAACACCGGCGGCUCGAGUGGUAACCGUUAUUAUUGGGUCUAAAGGGUCUGUAGCCGGCCGGAUAAGUCUCUUGAGAAAUCUGGCAGCUUAACUGUCAGGCUUUCAGGAGAUACUGUCUGGCUCGAGGCCGGGAGAGGUGAGAGGUACUUCAGGGGUAGGGGUGAAAUCUUGUAAUCCUUGAAGGACCACCAGUGGCGAAGGCGUCUCACCAGAACGGACCUGACGGCAAGGGACGAAAGCUAGGGGCACGAACCGGAUUAGAUACCCGGGUAGUCCUAGCCGUAAACGAUACUCGCUAGGUGUCGGCCACGGUGCGACCGUUGUCGGUGCCGUAGGGAAGCCGUGAAGCGAGCCACCUGGGAAGUACGGCCGCAAGGCUGAAACUUAAAGGAAUUGGCGGGGGAGCAC